GAUGAAGAACGUAGCGAAAUGCGAUAAGUAAUGUGAAUUGCAGAAUUCAGUGAAUCAUCGAAUCUUUGAACGCGCAUUGCGUCCGCUAGUAUUCUGGCGGGCAUGCCUGUUCGAGCGUCAUUUCAACCAUCAAGCCCUUUAGCUUGUGUUGGGGACCUGCGGCUGCCGCAGCCCCCGAAAUGCAGUGGCGGGCUCGUUGUCACACCGAGUGCAGUAAUCAUUCUUCUCUCCGGGCGUGGCGGCGGGUUCCGGCCGUAAAAUCACCAAUUUAUCAAGGUUGACCUCGGAUCAGGUAGGAAUACCCGCUGAACUUAAGCAUAUCAAUAAGCGGAGGA
rnacentral:misc_RNA from 1 species